GUACUCACUUUGGCAUCACAUAUAUUAGAAAACUGGAACUAUAUAGAAAAGAUCAGCAGGGCCUCUGCCCAAGGAUGACACAUAAGUAUAUGAAGUGUUCCAUAUUUUU
ensembl:snRNA U6 U6 spliceosomal RNA